GGCUGGUCUGAAGGUAGUGAGUUAUUUCACUUGAUUGUUCAGUCAGUUACAGACUGAACUCCUUGUUCUACUCUCUCCCCCCUUCUCAUUACUGCACUUGACUAGUCUUAA
ensembl:misc_RNA Y_RNA Y RNA